CAGCCGCCGCGGGAAUACGUAGGGUGCGAGCGUUAAUCGGAAUUACUGGGCGUAAAGCGUGCGCAGGCGGUUCGUUAAGACAGAUGUGAAAUUCCCGGGUUUAACCUGGGAACUGCAUUUGUGACUGGCGAGCUAGAGUAUGGCAGAGGGUGGAAGAAUUCCACGUGUAGCAGUGAAAUGCGUAGAGAUGUGGAGGAAUACCGAUGGCGAAGGCAGCCCCCUGGGCCAAUACUGACGCUCAUGCACGAAAGCGUGGGGAGCAAACAGGAUUAGAUACCCGGGUAGUCCCUGUCUCUUAUAC
rnacentral:rRNA from 1 species